rnacentral:rRNA from 1 species
GACGAACGCUGGCGGCGUGCUUAACACAUGCAAGUCGAGCGGUAAGGCCCUUUCGGGGGUACACGAGCGGCGAACGGGUGAGUAACACGUGGGUGACCUGCCCUCAGCUCUGGGAUAAGCCUGGGAAACCGGGUCUAAUACCGGAUAUGACUCCAUGACGCAUGUUGUGGGGUGGAAAGCCUUGUGCGGCUGAGGAUGGGCCCGCGGCCUAUCAGCUUGUUGGUGGGGUGAUGGCCUACCAAGGCGACGACGGGUAGCCGGCCUGAGAGGGCGACCGGCCACACUGGGACUGAGACACGGCCCAGACUCCUACGGGAGGCAGCAGUGGGGAAUCUUGCGCAAUGGGCGAAAGCCUGACGCAGCGACGCCGCGUGAAGG